rnacentral:rRNA from 1 species
AUUCACUAGUGAUUGUAGUCAUAUGGUUGUCUCAAAGAUUAAGCCAUGCAUGUCUAAGUAUAAGCAAUUUAUACAGUGAAACUGCGAAUGGCUCAUUAAAUCAGUUAUAGUUUAUUUGAUAGUACCUUACUACUUGGAUAACCGUGGUAAUUCUAGAGCUAAUACAUGCUAAAAACCCCGACUGCUUGGGAGGGGUGUAUUUAUUAGAUAAAAAAUCAAUGCCCUCGGGCUCUUUGAUGAUUCAUAAUAACUUGUCGAAUCGCAUGGCUUUACGCCGGCGAUGGUUCAUUCAAAUUUCUGCCCUAUCAACUGUCGAUGGUAGGAUAGUGGCCUACCAUGGUGGCAACGGGUAACGGGGAAUAAGGGUUCGAUUCCGGAGAGGGAGCCUGAGAAACGGCUACCACAUCCAAGGAAGGCAGCAGGCGCGCAAAUUACCCAAUCCUAAUUCAGGGAGGUAGUGACAAUAAAUAACGAUACAGGGCCCUUCUGGGUCUUGUAAUUGGAAUGAGUACAAUGUAAAUACCUUAACGAGGAACAAUUGGAGGGCAAGUCUGGUGCCAGCAGCCGCGGUAAUUCCAGCUCCAAUAGCGUAUAUUAAAGUUGUUGCAGUUAAAAAGCUCGUAGUUGAACUUUGGGCCUGGCAGGCCGGUCCGCUUUUUGGCGAGUACUGACCCUGCCGGGCCUUUCCUUCUGGCUACCCUCCCCUCUGGAGAGGCGAACCAGGACUUUUACUUUGAAAAAAUUAGAGUGUUCAAAGCAGGCCUUUGCUCGAAUAUAUUAGCAUGGAAUAAUAGAAUAGGACGUUUGGUUCUAUUUUGUUGGUUUCUAGGACCAUCGUAAUGAUUAAUAGGGACGGUCGGGGGCAUCAGUAUUCAGUUGUCAGAGGUGAAUUCUUGGA